CCAGCAAGUUAAAAUUAACUCCAGUAGAAACCCGGAAAAGUUAGGGCAGAGCCUGCUAGGCCUCUCUGGUUCCACUGAGGCUUAAAACUUGAUGGAGUUUUUCAUGUACCUGGGAAGUCAUUCGUUCUCUCUUAAAAACAUUUGUUUCUGGAAAGUUCCCACUGUGGCCAGCAAUUUAAGGCUUCGGCAUUGUCUCUGCAGCUCAGAGGAUUUGAUCAGUCUCUGGCUCGGUGCAGUGGCAGUGUAGGUCGUAGCUGUGGCUCAGAUUUGAUCCCUGGCUCAGGAACUUCCAUAUGCUGUGGGUGUAGCCAAAAAAAAAAAAGAAAACAAAUAAAGACCAAAAGACUCAUAUUUGUUUCUUGCUGGACAGUGAGUUGAAAUUGUUUCCUGUGUCUCCCCCCCACCCGCUUUGUUAUUAUAUGUUAUUUUGUAUUGCAGUUUUUAAUUGGCAACAUAAUUAAUUUCCCCCCAAAAGUUACAUGGACACAUUCUUCCAUAUCUAUGAUGAGUUAAGUAACCCAAGCUAGUUACAUGUCUUUCAACUCUGUGGAUGAGCCUUGCUGCUGAGCCCUCCCUCCAAGUUAACAGAAUCUAAAUAGAGGUGAGGGAGGGGAUUAAACUUGAAAGAUGGUCUGGUCUGUCCUUACUCACAAUUCAGUCACAUCUGAGACAUUUCAAGGCCUACUAUCCCUGUAUCCACACCAUAUCCCGUUAUCUCCAUCUUGAACCAUUCACACAAUAGAUUUUCCACAAAUGUUUAUAUAGAAGAGCACAAAUUAGGGGAAAAAAAAAGAGACAAAACGAAGGAAAACAUACAAUUAGAAAAGUUGGCAAAUCCUUAAUUAAGAAUGUCAUCUAAAGUGACUGUGGAUGUUACCCCCAAAUAAAAUACUCCUCUUAAGAAGAAAAAUUAAGUGACUUUUCAUAUUGUUUUGAAUAUAUUUCUCAAAAUAAUUCACUGGCAUCAUGGCUGCCACUUAAUAAUCUCAAGGUAAAAUAUGUGCCUAUAAUUUGACUUAAGGGAGAAGUCUUUAAUGGCUAAAAUUUCAGGACUAUUGUUUCUCUUGAAGGUAGGUAAAUUGCUUUUCUCUGCACUGCAGUUAUCUGUGCUAUUGUGUUUAUACUUUUUUUUUGGUGGGGGUGGUGUAUGUGGGGGACCAAUUUGUGAAUUAAAGGCAUUAUCGUUAAAUACCAGACAGAUAGAAGAGCUCAUUUGUCAAAUUCAAACCCUCCUUGGCUUAUUAUGAAAAAUUUCAUCUUGCUAGUGUGGAAAGAGCUCGUAAAAUCCUUAAGAUAUGUGUACGUGCAAAGGCCUAUGUAAAUGUACUGAGAGGCUAUUGCCAAAGUAUAUGCCAAGGUUCCCUGGGCUGUAGACUUGCAGGAGCUGCUAGAGUAGGAACCACAGUGGAAUGUAGCAUCUGCUGGACACUGUGCAGAUUCCUAGGUUAGUCACAGUUUCAUUGUUCUAUUGUAUUAUAUUCCCAUUGAUAGUGCGUAUUUUUGCAUAGCUGAGUUUUGGCAGUUGCUGUGAUAAAAAGCAAUGUACCAUUUGAUAAAUCAGCAUGAACAGAAAAUGAGGGUGGCAGCAUCCAGUCUGACUUCAAGGUUUGAGAAAUUGUGCAGGAUGCCGUGGCAUGUAUGUCCUAUUAGUAAGUAUUGUGUUGUUUAAGAAUGAAAUAAAAGUAUUUUUCCUUUCAAUUUAUUUUUUUUUCCUUAAAUAGGUACUGAGUUGUUAGGUCUAUUGACAGUUGCUUGAACCUAGCUGUUUAAUAAAUAGAAUUGUUAGGCAUCUCUUUGGCUUGUGGGGGGGAGGUGGAAAGAGGACGAAUGCCAUGAAAAAAUUGCUAAAACACUGGGAGAGCUAUAAAGUGAGAACAUUUGAGAACUUCUGGCAUUGACACAAGAAAAAAAUAACUGUAUUAAGAAAGAAAAAGUAGUCAUGGUAGGCAAUUUGGAAAAUGUAAAUUAGCUAAAUGGAGAAAAUAAAAUUGGCCUUGAUGUUGCUACCCAGAGAUACACAAUCUUAAUACUUUGGUUAAAAAAAAAAAUUUGGCUUGCAAACAUCAGACCCAAAACCAGCUAAUUUAAGGAAAGAGAACAUUUAUUUUAAGAAUAUGAAAAGGUGUCCAUUGGAUCCAAGUGCAGAAACGAAUGAGAAUCAAGAUCUAGAACACUUGUCCACUGUAAUUCCUCUCGUCCUUUUUUUUCUUCCUGCAAAAAAAUAAUUAAUUAUAUUUUUAAAUUAAACUUGUUUUUGGCAGGAAGUAGAAUCCAGUUUGGAAUAGUCUUAUGAAUUCCUCGCUCACACCUACUCAAUCUGCAGCGCCCAAACAUCAGCAUUUCUUGGUCUGUCCUGUCUCUAUUUGCCACCCCAAUCCAACUGAGUGAUAUGUUAGUAGAAAUACCUGUGGUGGAUUUCUCUGUCCCCCUUCACUGUCAGCUGGCUCUGAUUUUUAAAUUUUUAUUAAAAUAUAGUUGAUUUACAGUGUGGUGCCUAUUUCUGCUAUACAGCAAGGUGACCCGGCCAUACAUAUAUAUAUUUUGUAUAUAUUUUCUUAUAUAUUAUCUUCCAUCAUGGUCUGUUCCAAGAGAUUGGUUACAGUUCCCUGUGCUAUGCAGUAGGACCUUAUUGCUUAUCUAUUCUAAACAUAAUAGUUUGCAUCUGCCAAUCCCAAACUCCCCAUCCAUUCCACUCCCUUCCCAUCCCCCUUGGAAACCACAAGCCUGUUCUUCAUGUCUGUGAGUCUGUUUCUGUUCUGUAGGUAGGUUCAUUUGUGCUGCAUUUUAGAUUCCACAUAUAAGUGAUAUCAGAUGGUCUUUGUCUUUCUCUUUCUCACUUACUUCACUUAGUGUGAGAAUCGCUAGUUGCAUCCACGUUGCUGCAAAUGGCAUUGUUUCGUUCUUUUUUAUGGCUGAGUAGUAUUCCCUUGUGUAUAUGUACCACAUGUUCUUAAUCCAUUUAUCUGUCAAUGCAUCUUUAGGUUGUUUCCAUGUCUUGACUAUUGUGAGUAGUUCUGCUGUGAACAUAUGGGUGUGUGUGUCUUUUUGAAUUUUAAUUUUGUUCGAGUAUAUGUCCAGGAGUGUUGCUAUCUACUACCCCACUCCAGCCAAGGGACCUGUUAGUAGAAAUACCUGUGGUGGAUGUUCUUUGUGCCUUUCAUUGUUCAAAUGCCUUUGAGCAUUUCAUGGCUCUGGUCUUAAUCCAGGGCAGAGGAUGAAGGAUGCUUGUUGUUUUUGUUACAUCCCUUCUUUGCUUGGCAGUGGUGGGGGAAAAGGGGUGUGGCUAGAAGUGGAAUCAUCCCAUUGAGGGCAGCAUAAUUGUAGCUCUUGGUGUGGCAUGAGGCCAUCCUGAGCUCACUGUUUCAAGGCUCACCUCUGCCCCCCCCACUGCCCCAGCUGCCUCACUCCUCCCUCUCUCCUUUCCUCUCAGCUCAAACAGCAGAAAUGUAUUGUCUCACAGUCCUCGAAGCCAGAAGGCUGGCUUGGUGUUGACUGGGUUGGCUCUUUCCAAGGACAGUCACCUUCUUGGCCUACCUUCUCCUGCUUAGCUCAUGUAGUUGAAUUUGGGAAAACUGAGUGUGCAAAUACUGUCAUUCCUCAGAGUAUUAUAGAACAGCAUGCAAAACCCAUGAGAAUUAGACAGGAAAGCCAUGCCAGUGUCUCUCGAUUUUACUGAAGGCCCAGUCCUGCUUGCCACUACAACCUCCGUUCAUGCAAACAUCAGGCGAGGAUGUGUGCAGUAGAUGGACCCGAGUCAUGGGUUGUAUUUCUUUCUUCCCAUGUGAGUCAGUGCAUGGUGUUUUCAUGAAUUUCUCCCAGUUCGUGGGAUGAUUGACAGGGUGGCGUGGGCCCAGAAAGAUCUGGGUUAUGGUAGCAGUCUUCAAGCUUGCUAGAACUACCUGCUCUCUGAGACGCUUGAUAGAAAUUGUAUUUAACCUUCCCAACCCAUCUGGACAGUGGGCAGGGCCAGUUUCAUCUUGAGGAGGAAGUUGCUGAGGAUCAGGAAAGGCAGUUCCCUUGCUCAGGGUUGCAUAGCCAAUUCAGGAUAAAAAGUCAAGCCUUUCAGAAUCAAGAGCCUGUUUUCUUUCUGUCUCUCUGUCCCUGACUUACUAAGUACCCCAAUCUCCUUGCCUCUUUUGGAAAACACCAUCACAGGAAAAGCAGUCUGGUGGUAUUUCCUGUCUUUCGGGUCUGUCUGUCUCCCUUUGAACAGAGUGGAGUUUACCCUGAGAAAUAUGAAUCUUAGGAAAAAAGAAGUUUCUCUACAUUGACUGUGCCAGCACGGACAGACGAGCCUGGGCACCUUUGCCCCUGUCAUUGGACUGCCGCCCGCUGGGAGCUCAGCAUUUCUGGUGCCAGUGUCUCUCUCGGAAUUCUUGCCAGGCCCAAGGGUUUGCUUUGCAAUUGCUGGUGCGUGGUGUUUGGGAUGUUUGUGGGUGGCUGUUUUUUUAUUUGGGUUUUGUUAUCUGCCCUUUGUAAUAGUAGCUCUGGCAUAAUUUCUCGCUGCUCAAAUGUUCUGUGGCUUUCAACCAGAGAGACUUGAAAAUGUACCACGUGAGAGGGCUUUAUAACAAGUUUGGAGUCUCGGAGCCAAGGCCAAGCUUUUAGUAGUAGUAUUAUUAAUUUUAAGUAAAGUAUAGUUAACUCACAAUGUGGUAUCAAUUUCUGCUGUUCAGCAGUGUGACCCAGUCAUGCAUAAAUGUACAUUCUUUUUCUCAUACUGUCUUCCAUCAUGUUCUAUCCCAUUAGAUUGGAUGUAGUUCCCUGCGUUGUACAGUAGGACCUCAUUGCUUGUCCAUUCUAAACAAGGCUGAGCUUUUAGAGGCUGUUGGUGACGCGUUAAAAUAGCCUCUGGGCCUUUAUGAGUGUUAUUGCCUCUGCCGAUAAAGAGGGCUGCAAACCCGGCGGUCCAUAGGGGCAAACAGACAGGUGCAAUGGCUCCCUUGAGGUCUUCAGCCUCACCUCUUCAUUGCUGAAGAAAUGCUAGUUGAAUGAAGUGGCCAGAUUUCUCCUUCCCAAACUGAAAUCUAAAACAAACAAAAACCACCACAGAUGCAUUUUUGGAUCACCUUAGGCUCUCACAUCAAUGAUUCAUAAUUUGGGGCCUCGAACAGGGUCCCUGGCCCACCAACCACUUUCUUCUUUUCCUUUCACUUUACAGUUUCAGGGAUGUCAGCUUCACUGAUCCUCUCUGUUUUCUUCAGGUUAAAUGAGGAGCCUUUCUGUGUUGCUGCCCACCUCCACCCCCCUCGCAUCCUGAUCGAGCAUUUCUUUCCCCGUGUUUGAAUUGUCCUUGUGCUUCUCUGUCAUCUCCCAGAACUGUGGCUCCUUCCUCUUGAUAUCCAAGGUGUUGGUCCGCAGUGGAUGCAAGUGUGAAUGCUGAGUGAUGGCAGUGGGGGCAUUGGUGCAAGCUGGGGGGUGGAGCCGGAGUGGGAAAUGGUCCUCAUCCCCCCUCAGCCCAUGUGGGUUUUUUUUCUCUUCUCAUUUGCAUGCGUUCUGCUUGGUGUGGGUGGCGGAGUCAGGUCAUCGCUUUGCUCUCAGGUGGCAACUGUCAUUGUCGAUUAUGCCUUGCGACUUUACCUGGGUUGCUUUAGAGAAAAAAAUAAUAAAUGUCAGAGAAAUUUCAAUUGACUUGUCAGUGCCAACCUGUUUUGGUUCCUAGAGGCUAAGUGGAGACACAAGACGGACAGGUUUCUGAUACACACUGUUCUCAGCGUUUUGGGGAUGCCUGACUCACUCAUCCCUUUGCAAGAACAUUUUAGAUUUGAAGCCAUUUUCUCAAGGGCAGUCUCACACUGACAUUUUUAGGCCACAUGGAAUAACAUUCUGUUGCUGUUCUGGGAAACAGGGUGGAGGAGGCCCCCUUAUAUCCUUGUAAAGAAGUCCUCAAAUCUAACCUUAGUGACAGACGGGGACGAUUUCUAAUGAGCCGCCAAGAGGUUUGCAUCUGAUAUAAUCCUGCAAGGAUUCCUGUGGAGUUACAUAAGAUGGGCUUUCCCUCCUAUUUGGAAUGAGAACAUUUAAAGGGGUCAGCCAGUUUCAUGCUGGGAAGUCACUCUGCACAUAUGCUAAGAAAUGGAUAUAUGUUUUUCAAAAAUGUGAGCCCUUUGCUGUCAUUGAAAAGGAAUGUAAAAUGAUCUAUUUUUCAAAAAGGUGUAGAAAUUGAUGAGGCAAACAGAAGUCUAGGAGUGGUUCAUUUAUGGGUUAGCAGAGAAUAUGUUCUGUGUUUCAGACACUCGUAAUAAGAUGAAGAAACGUCCCAAGAUGAUUGGGGAGA
ensembl:lncRNA